rnacentral:rRNA from 1 species
UACGGAGGGUGCGAGCGUUGUCCGGAAUCACUGGGCGUAAAGGGCGCGUAGGCGGCGCGGGGAGUCAACGGUGAAAGCUCGGCGCUCAACGCCGAGUCGGCCGUCGAUACUCCCGUGCUCGAGCACUGUAGAGGCAGGUGGAAUUCCGGGUGUAGCGGUGGAAUGCGUAGAGAUCCGGAAGAACACCGGUGGCGAAAGCGAGGUCCUGGACGUUUUCUGACGCUGAGACGCGAAAGCUAGGGUAGCGAACGGG